rnacentral:rRNA from 1 species
AGAGUUUGAUCCUGGCUCAGGAUGAACGCUAGCGACAGGCCUAACACAUGCAAGUCGAGGGGCAGCAUUUCUAGCUUGCUAGAAGAUGGCGACCGGCGCACGGGUGAGUAACGCGUAUGCAACCUACCUUAUACUGGGGGAUAGCCCAGAGAAAUCUGGAUUAAUACCGCAUAACAAUGUUUUAUCGCAUGGUAAGAUAUUUAAAACUCCGGUGGUAUAAGAUGGGCAUGCGUAGCAUUAGUUAGUUGGUGAGGUAACGGCUCACCAAGACAAUGAUGCUUAGGGGGUCUGAGAGGAUAGUCCCCCACACUGGUACUGAGACACGGACCAGACUCCUACGGGAGGCAGCAGUGAGGAAUAUUGGUCAAUGGGCGCAAGCCUGAACCAGCCAUGUCGCGUGCAGGAUGACGGCCCUAUGGGUUGUAAACUGCUUUUUUACAGGAAUAAUUGUCUCUACGUGUAGAGAUUUGAAUGUACUGUAUGAAUAAGAUCGCUAA